rnacentral:sRNA from 1 species
GUCGUGAGAUGUUGGGUUAAGUCCCGCAACGAGCGCAACCCUUGUCCCUAGUUGCUACGCAAGGGCACUCUAGGGAGACUGCCGGUGACAAACCGGAGGAAGGUGGGGAUGACGUCAAGUCCUCAUGGCCCUUAUGGGUAGGGCUUCACACGUCAUACAAUGGCCGGUACAGAGGGUUGCCAAAGCGCGAGCUGGAGCCAAUCCCAGAAAGCCGGUCGUAGUCCGGAUUGCAGUCUGCAACUCGACUGCAUGAAGUCGGAAUCGCUAGUAAUCGCGGAUCAGCAUGUCGCGGUGAAUACGUUCCCGGGUCUUGUACACACCGCCCGUCACACCAUGGGAGCGGGAUGUACCAGAAGUAGGUAGGCUAACCGCAAGGGGGCCGCUUACCACGGUGCGUUUCGUGACUGGGAUGAAGUCGUAACAAGGUAGCCGUAUCGGAAGGUGCGGCUGGAUCACCUCCUUUCUAGAGAUAACCCGUGUCUUCAAGUGUCCACUCUUAUCGGUUGUUCGUAGCGGUCGUCAGUUGGCGGCUGGCAGUUGCCAUGAAGUUGCAUCAGUUGCGGCAACUCGACUGACUAUUGGCUGCUGACAUCUGAUCACAGGGUAUUACGCAAAUACACGGGCCUGUAGCUCAGUUGGUUAGAGCACCGUCUUGAUAAGGCGGGGGUCGAUGGUUCGAAUCCAUCCAGACCCACCAUCGUCAUUCGGGGCUGUAGCUCAGUUGGGAGAGCGCCUGCUUUGCAAGCAGGAGGUCAUCGGUUCGAUCCCGUUCAGCUCCACCAAUCAGUAUGCAGAGUGCAGAAGUAAGCGCGCAGGUUUACUUCUGAUCUUUGGAUCAGACCGGCAACAUCGGUCGCUCUUUAAAAAAACGGAAGAAGUAAAGCGCACACGACAAAACAUCGUCGUGUGAUGGGUUAGAUUGUAUCGAACCCGUUCUCUCUCGAGUUCAGAGUGAGCGGGUAGCGCAAACACCUGUAAUGCGAGCGCGCAAGUGCUCAGUGUUAUGGGGUCAAGCGACUAAGUGCAUGUGGUGGAUGCCUUGGCGAUCACAGGCGAUGAAGGACGUGGCAGCCUGCGUUAAGCUCCGGGGAGCUGGCAAACGAGCAUUGAUCCGGAGAUGU